rnacentral:misc_RNA from 1 species
UACGUAGGGUGCGAGCGUUAAUCGGAAUUACUGGGCGUAAAGCGUGCGCAGGCGGUUUUGUAAGCCAGGUGUGAAAGUCCUGGGCUCAACCUGGGGACUGCACUUAAUACUGGAUGGCUUGAAUUCGGGAGAGGAUAGCGGAAUUCCCAGUGUAGAGGUGAAAUUCGUAGAUAUUCGGAAGAACACCAGUGGCGAAGGCGACUAACUGGACAGGUAUUGACGCUGAGGUGCGAAAGCGUGGGGAGCAAACAGG